GGAAUAAUUCUUUUGGUGGGGUGGAGUCACUGGAGGCAGCGGUUCAUCGAUCUCUUCCUGAGAUUUGUUGUGAAAAUACAAAACAUGAAUCGGUCGAUAAACCUCUGCAUCCAGCGCUCACUCUCUCAUUCUUGUGUUUUUCU
rnacentral:pre_miRNA from 1 species